rnacentral:rRNA from 13 species
AUAGUUAUAAUAAUUAGACCCGAAACCAAGUGAUCUAGUCAUGGGCAGAUUGAAGUUAAUUAAAUAUUAAUGGAGGAUCGAACCCGUUUAUGUUGCAAUAUAUUGGGAUGACCUAUGAUUAGGGGUGAAAGGCUAAUCAAACUUGGAGAUAGCUGGUUUUCUACGAAAUCUAUUUAAGUAGAGAUGAAAUUUAAAUUUAUAUAAGGUAGAGCUACCAUAUUG